CUCUGGCAUAGCAAUGGCACUGCAAUGGGGGAGCCUGUUGCUGGGCUGGGCCAUCUCGCCACUGUCACCUGCCUGUUGAGGGGUGACGGUGGUUGUUGAGAGGCUGGAUCAGACCCCAGAGGUGACAUGGAUGUGGCAUAUUUGUUGGACUUACACAGCCUUGCAUUUUAUUUUCAUCUCUGUUCCUUCCUCCCAUGAGAUCUUGGGUGGUGUUUAUCAACCCUGAGUAAUCGUUUCUUUGUCUGCAAGAUGGAAUAAAAAGGCCUACCUCAUUGGGCUCGUGUGGGUGAGGAGAACUGAAGAGUCUGAGAGCGCGGCACGAGCCAGAGGCUACGGAAAACACUGCCCUCCUACACUCCACCUUGGAGAGACCCAGAAAAGAACAAGCUUCAUUUGUAAAAAAGGAAAACAACUCAGGCAAUGGGGGUGGCUUAAAGGCACUCUACAGUGUGCAGAUGCCUUCCACUUCUUCCAUCUGCCCUGUCUCUCCAAGAACCCCUAUGGCCCCGGUCUCAGAACAGAGCUGAGUGCAGAAAUGAAAAUCUAUGGCUCUGUGUUCCAAAACGAUGAAGAAUUUCAAGAUGGUGGCAGUGGUAAAAUCUUUCUCCAGGAAAAAUCUGUCCUUGGCCCAAUGUGUAAACACUUGCUGAGGAACUUGGAAUAACUUGCAGUGUCUUGCAGUAUUGUGAAACCAGCAACUUGUUCACAAUUCUUCUGAAUUUCUUGGGAAAUUUGAAGUGGAGUACCUGUACCAACAUGAAAUGACACGAAUUUAAGUGACGCUCAACAACGAAAAGCAAAAAGAACCAAAGAGGAAGCAACUGAAACAACAUCUGGAUGUAUUUAAAAAUAUACAAUGCCUCCAAAAUCAGGUGUCAUUAAUGAAAAUUCUGAAGAAAUGCCACCGGACAUAGCCAACGCACCUACGCUGUUGUUAUUCAUUUCCUGCUUUUCACAGAAAACAAUUUUGUUGCAUGGAAGAUCGUGAACUUCAAAGGGCAGAGGGGAAACUGUCCCUUGGCCUCUACCCCUCCAAGGCCCCACUUUUUUGUCAACACUCCUUGGACGCAGCAGAAGUAUGAACAUAAUAUGGUCCUGAAUGAGGCUGAGUCUUUGGGCGCAGAAGACCCGGGUUAAUAAAAAUAGGAAGGUAAGAAAAGAAAAGAAAAAUCAAGACACAUCAUAGGACUAAAUUCCUAUUAUUUAUCCACUCAGGAUUGACCACCCCUUUGGGCCAGAUAGUUGUACCCCCAUGUACCAGGUGGGCACAUGAAGACACAAGAAGUGCUGUGAUGGUUCAUUUUGCACGUCACCUUGCGUGGAGUAUGCCAACUCAUUGUUUGGUCAAACACUAGUCUGGACAUGGUGGUAAAGGUAUUUUUUAGAUGAGAUUAACACUUAAAUCAGUAAAGCAGGUUACCCACCAUACUACGGGUGGGCCCUGUCCAAUCAGUUGAAGGCAUUAAGAACAAAGAUUGAGGUUUCCUAAAGAAGAUGGAAUUCUCCUUGAGACUACAACAUAGAAACCCUAUCUGAGUUUCCAGCCUGUUGCCCUGUGGAAUUCAAACUCAGGACUCCGGUCUAUGACAUUAACCCUCACUUAACUUUUCAGCCUGCCAGCCUGCCCUAUGGAUUUCGGACUUGCCAGCCACACAAUUCCUUAAAAUAAAU
rnacentral:lncRNA from 10 species